GCUCACGUAGCCUAAUUUUAAAGCGUAACACUGAAGAUGUUAAGAUGGGCCCUAGAAAGUCCCGCGAGCA
rnacentral:tRNA from 1 species